GACGAACGCUGGCGGCGUGCUUAACACAUGCAAGUCGAACGGAAAGGCCCCUUUGGGGGUACUCGAGUGGCGAACGGGUGAGUAACACGUGAGUAACCUGCCCUUGACUUCGGGAUAACUUCAGGAAACUGGGGCUAAUACCGGAUAGGAAUCCUUGCUGCAUGGUGGGGGUUGGAAAGCUUCGGCGGUUUUGGAUGGACUCGCGGCUUAUCAGCUUGUUGGUGGGGUAGUGGCUUACCAAGGCUUUGACGGGUAGCCGGCCUGAGAGGGCGACCGGCCACAUUGGGACUGAGAUACGGCCCAGACUCCUACGGGAGGCAGCAGUGGGGAAUAUUGCACAAUGGGCAGAAGCCUGAUGCAGCAACGCCGCGUGCGGGAUGACGGCCUUCGGGUUGUAAACCGCUUUCAGCAGGGGCGAAGCUUGUGGUGACGGUACCUGCAGAAGAAGCACCGGCUAACUACGUG
rnacentral:rRNA from 1 species